GAGGAUGGGCAAAGUGUCAGGCUCUUGGUGCAGCUGAAAAUCCUUUGAGAUGGAAGAAAUGGCUGGAACAAAGGGGCAGAGGAACAAAAAGCCCUGAACUGCUUCGCCCCUGCCUCGUGGGGUCUUUAUCAUCUUAAACCUUGGGAUUUGAACAUCUGUCCAGUCCCUGGGAUGGUGAGGCUAUAACCACAAAGGAAUAAGAGAAGACGACUAGUUUUGUAAUGGCUUUGAAUGAUGCAUUGGCCCACGUGGACCACCUUCCAUUUCCCAAGACUUUUUGAAGGCAAUGAAUGAGAAGAAAGCAGAGAAAACAGUGGGCGUGAGGUCAGAUGACUCAGGCUUGAGUACUGAUCACAUCAAGGAUUGGACGCACUGCUCUUAGGAAGGCACAACUUCUACUACUUUCAGUCUUAUCAACUGUGAGAGGAAGAAGAAGCAAAGCACACCAUUGAUGUGUGUGGGUUUGAUGUAGCAUCUUCUAAGAGGUCUACAAAGAGACAUUGCAAAGCCAGGCCUCUAAAUGAUUCCUCUGUGAAACAUUGGGCCAAACAUUCCGUAACCCCUUCCUGCUCUGGUGAUCAUGUAAGUAGAUAUUCUGGAAGCACUUGCUCUACAGAUGGAGAAUUGUCACCAUCUGCCAGGACAGCUCCUGCUCAUCUUUCAUGACUCAGCUCACAUGUCAUAACUUCAAGGGGCCUUCAGCUCUCUGGCCCUUCCUGCCCCAUGAAGGCUCUACCCAGUGCCCCCAACUUUGCUCCUUCGGCUGCAUUUGAAGCAUUUACCUGUGCUUGUUAAUUGUUGGUGGAAUUGUCUGUAGACUGUGACCUUGAGUGUGCAGAGUCUUGUAGAGUCAUCUCUGGAUUCCCCACUCUGAGAACCACGCUUGGCCAUUGCAGGCUCUCAACAAAGGCUUGCUGAGGGGAUGAAUGAAUGAAUGUAUGGAUGGCAUGAAUGUAUGGGCUCUGGUGAAUUUUUUGCCCACAUUUUGCUGGCCAGCGGCUGCAUUGGGUCUGCACACUGAACCCUUUGGCUCAAGGUAUCAGAGCUGCUCUCCUUCCAGUGAAGACUUGGAUGGAAGACUUGAGAUGCAGGUUAUGGGGAUACGUGUCACCUCUAUUCCUCAUUCAGAAGGAUACAUACCUCACUGGACCAUAAAAAAUGAGAACUGAAUUAUCUGAGUGUUUGAAUAAACUUCCACCUUGUUACUCCACUACAGUCUGAGAAAACUUCACUGCACAAAUAGAGGCAGUGUACACCCCUCACAGACACUUUCCUUUCUCCUGUUGAGAGGUGAAGCCAGCUGGACUUCUGGGUCGGGUGAGGACUUGAAGAACUUUUUUGUCUUACAAGAGGUUUGUAAAAUGCACCAAUCAGUGCUCUGUAAAAACGCACCAAUCAGCGCCCUGUGGCUAGCUAGCGGUUUGUAAAAUGCACCAAUCAGUGCCCUGUAAAAACGCAGCAAUCAGCACUCUGUGGCUAGCUAGAGGUUUGUAAAAUGGACCAAUCAGCACUCUGUAAAACAGACCAAUCAGCACUCUGUAAAAUGGACCAAUCAGCAGGACAUGGGUGGGGACAAAUAAGGGAAUAAAAGCUGGCCACCCCAGCCAGCAGCAGCAACAACACGGUCGCGUCCCUUUCCACGGUUUGGAAGCUUUGUUCUUUUGCUCUUUCCAAUAAAUCUUGCUACCCU
ensembl:lncRNA novel transcript